rnacentral:rRNA from 1 species
AUUGAACGCUGGCGGCAUGCCUUACACAUGCAAGUCGAACGGCAGCGGGGACUUCGGUCCGCCGGCGAGUGGCGAACGGGUGAGUAAUGUAUCGGAACGUACCAUUGAGUGGGGGAUAACGUAGCGAAAGUUACGCUAAUACCGCAUAUUCUCUCCGGAGGAAAGCAGGGGACCGCAAGGCCUUGCGCUCUUUGAGCGGCCGAUAUCAGAUUAGCUAGUUGGUGGGGUAAAAGCUCACCAAGGCGACGAGCUGUAGCGGGUCUGCGAGGAUGAUCCGCCACACUGGAACUGAGACACGGUCCAGACUCCUACGGGAGGCAGCAGUGGGGAAUUUUGGACAAUGGGGGCAACCCUGAUCCAGCCAUGCCGCGUGAGUGAAGAAGGCCUUCGGGUUGUAAAGCUCUUUCGGCCGGGAAAAAAUCGCAUGGGUUAAUACCCUGUGUGGAUGAUGGUACCGGAAUAAGAAGCACCGGCUAACUACGUGCCAGCCGCCGCCGUAA